ensembl:snRNA U6 U6 spliceosomal RNA
AUGCUUGUUUUGGCAGCACAUAUACUAAAACUGGAAUACAGAGAUUAGCAUAGCCCCUGAACAAUGAUUAUACAGAAAUUUGUUAAAAGUUCCAUAUUUUG